AUUGAACGCUGGCGUCAGGCCUAACACAUGAAAGUCGAACGAGUGGCGGACGGGUGAGUACUGUCUGGGAAACUGCCCGAUGGAGGGGGAUAACUACUGGAAACGGUAGCUAAUACCGCAUACUAUCGUACGUCCACAGAUGGGCGUGGCUAGUAGGUGGGGUAAUGGCUCACCUGGGCGACGAUCCCUAGCGGUGCUGAGAGGAUGACCAGCGACACUGGAACUGAGACACGGUCCAGACUCCUACGCGAGGCAGCAGUGGGGAAUAUUGCACAAUGGGCGCAAGCCUGAUGCAGCCAUGCCGCGUGUAUGAGGAAGGCCUUCGGGUUGUAAAGUACUUUCAGCGAGGAGGCGUUACUCGCAGCAGAAGCAUCGGCUAACUCCGUGCCAGCAGCCGCGGUAAUUC
rnacentral:rRNA from 1 species